ACGGAGGGUGCAAGCGUUAAUCGGAAUUACUGGGCGUAAAGCGCACGCAGGCGGUUGGAUAAGUAGAUGUGAAAGCCCCGGGCUCAACCUGGGAAUGCAUUUAAAACUGUCCAGCUAGAGUCUGNAGAGGGGGGUAGAAUCCAGGUGUAGCGGUGAAAUGCGUAGAGAUCUGGAGGAAUACCGGUGGCGAAAGCGGCCCCCUGGACAAAGACUGACGCUCAGGUGCGAAAGCGUGGGGAGCAAACAGGAUUAGAUACCCUGGUAGUCCACGCCGUAAACGAUGUCGAUUUGGAGGCUGUGUCCUUGAGACGUGGCUUCCGGAGCUAACGCGUAAAAUCGACCGCCUGGGGAGUACGGCCGCAAAGUUAAAACUCAAAUGAAUGGACGGGGGCCCGCACAAGCGGUGGAGCAUGUGGUUAAAUUCGAUGCAACGCGAAGAACCUUACCCGGCCUGGACAUGUCUGGGAAUCCUGCAAAGAUGCGGGAGUGCCUUCGGGGAA
rnacentral:rRNA from 1 species